AUCGCACAUAGUUCUUCUUCGAAGCCUUUAGAUUCGCUCUAAAAGUGGUUUUGAGGAUUUUAUUUGUGCGUAAAGUAAAUGAUCCUAUCUGCUUGAGUAAUCUCUGUUAUGUGUUAACCAUAGAGUUAUGCUCCAAUGUUAUAGGAUCACAUUU